GCAGCCGGAUGCAGCAAGCAUUGACCGGUAGACACCACCCCUUGCCAGAACGGGGAAGAAGGUCCACAGGGAGCCACCUGCUCCACACACUGUGUUCUUGACCAACACGUCCCGCCCCAGCAACUCAGGGCGCGGAGCAGAGGAGAACAGCAAAGAUCGCAAAGCACGCAUCAUUUCCCUGCUACAGGAUGUCCUUCGGUGGUGGUGUCUUCUCUGCUAAAUAUCCAGAUCUAAUUUUCUUAAAUAUACUGUCAUCCACCAUGUGCCAGCAAGAGUUAUCCAUUUUGAUUUUAUUUGAUUCUAUUAAGUUCCGGGGGAAUUUGUGGAGAAAAGCUGAGUUCUUCAAGAUCUGUGGAUGUUUUGACUUGGAAUAGCUUGUCAAGAUCUUCAUCCGUGGAUGUUAUUACUACGUAGCCGUCAUUCACAGGUAUCAGUUUCGUAAUAUAGAUGUCAUUGUUGGAGAGAGCUCCUAGUAAUAGUUGUUGUUUCCUGGGGUCUUUGGAGUCUC